CAGCCGCCACGGGAAUACGGAGGGUGCAAGCGUUAAUCGGAAUUACUGGGCGUAAAGCGCACGCAGGCGGUCUGACAAGUCAGAUGUGAAAUCCCCGGGCUUAACCUGGGAACUGCAUUUGAAACUGUCAGGCUGGAGUCUUGUAGAGGGGGGUGGAAUUCCAGGUGUAGCGGUGAAAUGCGUAGAGAUCUGGAGGAAUACCGGUGGCGAAGGCGGCCCCCUGGGCCUGUACUGACGCUCAUGCACGAAAGCGUGGGGAGCAAACAGGAUUAGAUACCCCUGUAGUCCCUGUCUCUUAUAC
rnacentral:rRNA from 1 species